AUCAACGCUGGCGGCGUGCCUAACACAUGCAAGUCGAACGAGAAAGUGGAGCAAUCCAUGAGUAAAGUGGCGACCGGGUGAGUAACACGUGACUAACCUACCUUCGAGUGGGGAAUAACUUCGGGAAACCGAGGCUAAUACCGCAUAACACCGAGAGGUCAAAGGAGCAAUUCGCUUGAAGAGGGGGGUCGCGGCUGAUUAGCUAGUUGGUAGGGUAAUGGCCUACCAAGGCAAUGAUCAGUAUCCGGCCUGAGAGGGCGCACGGACACACUGGAACUGAAACACGGUCCAGACUCCUACGGGAGGCAGCAGUGGGGAAUUUUGCACAAUGGGGGAAACCCUGAUGCAGCAACGCCGCGUGGAGGAUGAAGCCCUUUGGGGCGUAAACUCCUUUCGAUCGGGACGAUUAUGACGGUACCGGAAGAAGAAGCACCGGCUAACUCUGUGCCAGCAGCCGCGGUAAUACAGAGGGUGCAAGCGUUGUUCGGAAUUAUUGGGCGUAAAGGGUGCGUAGGCGGUGCGGUAAGUCUUUUGUGAAAUCUCCGGGCUCAACUCGGAGUCUGCAGGAGAAACUGCCGUGCUUGAGUAUGGGAGAGGUGAGUGGAAUUCCUGGUGUAGCGGUGAAAUGCGUAGAUAUCAGGAGGAACACCUGUGGCGAAAGCGGCUCACUGGACCAUAACUGACGCUGAUGCACGAAAGCAUAGGGGAGCAAACAGGGAUUAGAUACCCCUGGUAGUCCUACGCCCUAAACGAUGAUUGCUUGGUGUAGUCGGGUAUCGACCCCUGACUGUGCCGAAGUCAACAGCGAUUAAGCACUCCGCCUGGGGAGUACGGUCGCAAGGCUGAAACUCAAAGGAAUUGACGGGGGCCCGCACAAGCGGUGGAGCAUGUGGUUUAAUUCGACGCAACGCGAAGAACCUUACCUGGGUUCGAAGUGCAGUGGAAUCCGGUCAGAAUAUGAGGCGCCCGCUCAGGGAUGCCUGCUGUAGGUGCUGCAUGGCUGUCGUCAGCUCGUGUCGUGAGAUGUUGGGUUAAGUCCCGCAACGAGCGCAACCCUAUUGUCCAGUUGCUAACGGUUAUGGCCGAGAACUCUGGAUGAGACCGCCGGUGAUAACCGGGGAGGAAGGUGGGGAUGACGUCAAGUCCUCAUGGCCUUUAUGUCCAGGGCUACACACGUGCUACAAUGGACGGUACAAACAGUCGCAAAACCCGCUGAGGGGGAGCUAAUCGGCAAAAAAGCCGUUACCUCAGUUCGGAUUGGCAGCUCUGCAACUCGAGUGCAUGAAGCUGGAAUCGCUAGUAAUCGCAGGAUCAGCACGCCUGCGGUGAAUACGUUCCCGGGCCUUGUACACACCGCCCGUCACAUCACGAAAGUCGGGCUUGCACUAGAAGUCCGGUGGGCUAACCCGCAAGGGGAGUCAGCCGUCCUAAGGUGUAGUCAUGUAUUGGGGUG
rnacentral:rRNA from 1 species